CCACACACGCGCAAGGCAGCGCAGAGUAGGCCCAUCAAGCAGAAGCCCACCCCGCGAGUUCGUCUCCUACCUGAGACCGGACUCCUCACGCACGAGAGCUUCUCUGUCCCCGAUCCAAAAUUGAUCGAUUUGAUCGAUCUACUUCGCCUUGACCACAAUACGCAAUAUAUAAGUACUCACCUCCCUCCUCUCGUCCGAUUUUUGGCGAAAUCGUGAUCUCCCGUGCCAUGGCGCUUCCAGUCGAUUCUUGGCUGUUCUGCCGCCUCCAGGAGCUCCCAUCGUUGGUGGAUUCGUCCUCGGGAGCACGGGAACCAGCGCGAGGUCCGUCGCCUGAGUAGACUGAACCGUCGCCGUCGGAGGAGGAGCCCACCGCCCAUGCCUGAGCCACCGCCGUCGUUCCCCUGUUGGUCACGGUAAGCCCGCAGCACCAUCUACCACAACCAAUCCCGACCAAAUUUUGAGCUGUUUAUUUUUUAGCAGAUUCUCACUAAUAAUUUCAAACUAGUAUAACUUUUAACUGGUAUGUCCAAAUUAGAAAAUUCUUUUCCCUGUAAGUUCGUAGUGACCAGUACAAUAUGAUAGAACCAAAACUUUACAUGUUUGCAAUGAUUAAAUUUGACUAGCAAAAUGAUCCGUGCGUUGCAACGGGAGUAAAAAAAAACAUAAUUUUCAAUGAUGAUGAUCAUAUUAUGUUCACACAUCAAUGCUUGAUUUUAAAAUUUUAUGCAGAAAUGCAAAAAAAUGUUUCUUCUUUUAAAUUUAUUCACAAAUUGAAGCAAUCUUUACAUUUUCAAAAAACAAUAUCAUGGUUGUCAAAAAUCUUGGUAACUCAAAGAAUUAUUCUUAAUUUCAAGAAUUUUUUAGAAAACAUAAAAUAAUAAUCCGAUCCAUCCAACAGUUAAUUUUUCAAAAAUCAUACGGGUAUAUUUUCACAAAGACUUAGAAGCAUUAAUGUUUAACUACAUACAUUAGAUCUUUCAUGAACAAUUUUACAAAUAUUAGAACAAUUUUAAAAUCGAGAACAUUUUUUACAAUAUAGAAACAUUUACUAAAAAUCGUGAAGAUUUUUUGUAUUUCAAACGGGUUUAAAUAUUUUCUUUUGAAUUGGCGACCAAUUCUAGAAAAGACGAACAUAAUUUUUUAUGUUGGAGGAUUUUACUUUAAAUUCACAAACAUUUUUAAAACGCAUGAAGUUUUUCUGAAUAAACAAACAUUUUUAUAAGUCAGUAAUAUAAUUAUUCAAUUCACGGACAUUGUUUUGGAAUUUGCAAAAAAAAUUAUAAAAAUUUGGCGCCAUUUUUGAAUCCACAAACAUUUUAUGUUUUCGUCAACAUUUUAAUUCAAAAUUCCUAUUUUUAAUACGCAAAUGCUUUUGUAGUUCUAAAUUAUUUAAAUUGGAAGUAAACAAAAAUGGAACGGAAAAUUUAAAUAAAAAAAGAAACUAUCAAAACAGGCAUUAGCUAUUUUUAAAAUUUUAGGACAUUUUUUUAAUGGAUUAACAUAUUUUGAAUUAGAAGUCAUUUCGUUAAAUACUUUUAAUAUUUUUUAGUACAUGGAGUUUGAUUUGAAAUCAUAGACAUUUAUUAUUUUACAAAUAUUUUUUCAAACUUGCAAACAUUUUAUUAUAUGUGCGAACAUUUUUUAUAAAAACUCCGAGCAGUUUUUGAAGUCACAAACAUUUUAUUUUUUUAAAUAUGUUGAUUUAAAAUUUUAAGUUUAUUAAAAGUUUAAAGGUUAUUUGAAGUUUUAAAUUAUUUAAAAUAGAAAAUUAAAAUGAAACUGAAGAUAAAUAAAUAAACGCAACUGAAAAAACUGGCGCCUGUGCAUGGGCUGGCCCAUACGGUGUGUUGGAUAUUCUUCUAGGGUGCAUAGCGUAACAUAGGAGGUUUUUACAUGGGCUCGCUCAGUUCAAGAUUUUUCGCUUUGUGAAAUGUUUUCUAUUACUUACCGGUGGCAUGGUGGGUAAUUUAUGCAAACUUUAGGGGCAAUUUCUAUGACGUACCAGAGAAGCAAUAGAUACUUUAUUAAUAGGUAAAGAUUUGAUUAUAUUUAGUUUAAACCUUCUGAAGGCCAUAACUGUCAAACCGUUCGUCCAAAUUAACGGUUUCUUUUUGCGUUGUGUUUGUAUCAGCAUAUAGAUAUUUUGUACCUAAUGUUGUUUUUAUUUUAAAUUUGUUUUUCUCGUUGUUGGUUUUGUUCGGUGUUAUAUGAAUGUGGUGAUUAAUUUGUUGUGAUUGUUUGAAACGUGUAGAUUGUCCGGAGUAUGACGCAAACUAUUGUCAGGAGUGUGACCUUUUGAACCAGAAUCAGGGCAAGUUACAUGUUGAUCAUCCUUCAUCUAUUAUUUUUCUAUGCAUGAAGUAUGGAAAACACCAUGAUUCCGCCGGCGGAUCACACGCAGUGCGUCCCCCGCCUCCUGCAUCCAACACGUGUCCAUAUGUACUCUCCGCCUCAUGCUCAUAACCAUGGCUGAUGUGCAAGCGUGCACGCGCGCAACAAGGAGUUUCAGCAACUUGGUAUAUGUUUCAAAAAAUU
rnacentral:lncRNA from 1 species